CAGCCCUGUCAGGGAUUAUUUUUAUAGUUCGUUGCUAGAGAAGUUUCCCUGACAGCAUGGCGUACUGGAGACCGCGGGGAGGAGGCGCAGCGUUCUCUCCUGAGCGUGAAGCCGGAUCUUGGUGUCGCUUUGCUGGAACUGCCACUUGCCAUCGAUGAUCGUUUCUGCACUCCUUCAGGGGAGCUGGAGGGAGGCACAUAGUCUGAGUGGC